AAGGAAUAUUGCUCAAUGGGAGAAAUCCUGAAGCAGCAACGCCGCGUGGAGGAUGAAGGGUCUAUGACUUGUAAACUCCUGUAAAGAAGGAAAAAAUUCCCAUUUGAUGGGAGAUGAUGGUACUUCUGGAGUAAGCCCCGGCUAACUAUGUGCCAGCAGCCGCGGUAAUACGUAGGGGGCAAGCGUUGUCCGGAUUUACUGGGUGUAAAGGGUGCUCAGGCGGAUUUGUAAGUCAGAGGUGAAAUCUUACAGCUUAACUGUGAAACUGCCUUUGAUACUGCAAGCCUAGAGUAUGGAAGAGAGUGAUGGAAUAUCUGGUGUAACAGUGAAAUGCGUAGAUAUCAGAUAGAACACCAAUGGCGAAGGCAGUCACUUGGUCCAUUACUGACGCUAAAGCACGAAAGCGUGGGUAGCAAACA
rnacentral:rRNA from 1 species